AACGAACGUUGGUGGCAUGGAUUAGGCAUGCAAGUCGAGCGAGAAGAGUUUUGAAGCUUGCUUUAGAACUCGGACAGCGGCGAAAGGGAGAGUAACGCGUAGUUAUGUGCCCUAGGGUCCGGAAUAGCCACGGGAAACUGUGGGUAAUGCCGGAUAAUAUCCCCGGAUCAAAGGUGUGAUUCCGCCCUAGGAGCAGACUGCGUCCUACUAGCUAGUUGGUGGGGUAAUGGCCCACCAAGGCAAUGAUGGGUAGCGGGUGUGAGAGCAUGACCCGUCUCACUGGGACUGAGACACUGCCCAGACACCUACGGGUGGCUGCAGUCGAGAAUCUUCGGCAAUGGGCGAAAGCCUGACCGAGCGAUGCCGCGUGCGGGAUGAAGGCCCUCGGGUUGUAAACCGCUGUCGUAGGGGAGGAAGGUUCCGUGAAGAGCGGGACUUGACCUAUCCUAGGAGGAAGUACGGGCUAAGUUCGUGCCAGCCGCCGCUGUAAUAC
rnacentral:rRNA from 1 species